CGGGGUGAGUAACACGUGGAUAACCUACCUAUAAGACUGGGAUAACUUCGGGAAACCGGAGCUAAUACCGGAUAAUAUAUUGAACCGCAUGGUUCAAUAGUGAAAGACGGUUUUGCUGUCACUUAUAGAUGGAUCCGCGCCGCAUUAGCUAGUUGGUAAGGUAACGGCUUACCAAGGCAGCGAUGCGUAGCCACCUGAGAGGGUGAUCGGCCACACUGGAACUGAGACACGGUCCAGACUCCUACGGGAGGCAGCAGGC
rnacentral:rRNA from 1 species